GGGGAUGUAGUUUAAUAUAGAGAAUGGGGCUUUUGUAAAGCUUUGGUGUUAGUCUUUCUCCA
rnacentral:tRNA from 1 species